CCUACGGGUGGCUGCAGUGGGGAAUAUUGCACAAUGGGGGAAACCCUGAUGCAGCGACGCCGCGUGAGGGAAGAAGGAAUUCGGUUUGUAAACUUCUAUUCGCAGGGAAGAAAAUGACGGUACCUGAGUAAGCAGGCCCCGCUAAAUACGUGCCAGCAGCCGCGGGAAUACGUAGGUGGCAAGCGUUUUCCGGGUUUACUGGGUGUAAAGGGAGCGUAGACGGCAGGGCAAGUCAGGUGUGAAAGGCGCGGGCUCAACCUCCGGACUGCACUUGAAACUGUGCGUCUGGAGUGAAGGAGAGGUAAGUGGAAUUCCGAGUGUAGCGGUGAAAUGCGUAGAUAUUAGGAGGAACACCAGUGGCGAAGGCGGCCUACUGGACUGUAACUGACGUUGAGGCUCGAAAGCGUGGGGAGCAAACAGGAUUAGAUACCCGAGUAGUC
rnacentral:rRNA from 1 species